GGGCCGGCUCCAGCUCAGCGGUUCCUUCGGUACCUUUAGGUUCCAUAAACCCUCCACUUCGGGGGUUCGAGCCCCGCGGGCGCUACCUGGCCCUUUU
rnacentral:vault_RNA from 1 species